rnacentral:lncRNA from 10 species
AUGCUGAAAAAGAACAACACAAGGUCCCUGCCUUAGAGGUUUCACCAGAGCACAGCUCCUGCCUGUGGCCAAAACAGUAUUUGGCCACUCACCGACCCAGUGUCAGCAUCCAGAUGGGUUCCACAUCUCACAACCCUGAGCAGCAGAGAAGGGUUUGAAAGGCCAGGGGAGAAUGAAGACGAAGGAGGUGUUGGCAACAACACAGAGAGUCAGCAGCCAGAACGCCAGGUAUCCACACACAUAAGACAUUCUAAAUUUUUACUCAACAGAAAUUGUCUAUGUCUGUGUCUGGGCACCAUGGCAACACCUUAUCUCUACAAAAAUUAGCGGAAUGUAGUGGUGCCUGUGUGUAGUCCCAGCUAUUCAAGAGGCUGAAGUGGGAGGAUUGCUUGAGCCAUGGAAGUCAAGGCUGUAGUGAGCCAUGAUUGUGUCACUGCACUCCAGACAGAGCAAGACCCUGCUCCCACCACACCCCUCAAAAGAAAAAAAAAAAAGGAAAAGAAAUGAAAUGAAAUGAAAUAAAGAAAAGAAAAAAGAACAGAAAAUUGUCUAUGCCUGGAUCUCUAGUAAUGUGCAGAACAGACAGUAUCCCAGCCCUCUUGAGUUCUUGGGCCAGUCUGACUUGUUCAACAAAUACUCCUUGAGCAACAGCUAGGAGCAAGCAGAAAAUCACCAACAUUUUCACCCCCAGAAUUCUAUUUGUGUAAGGCAAUUCAACAUAUUCAGAAAACAACUAGAGAAUAAAAAUAUAUCUUACAUAAAGUUUGAGAAAUGUAAUCAGUAUGUCAUUGUUCAAUCACUUCAUAUAUGUGAUGCCAUAUUUCCUCAUAUAUUAAAUCAGGAGAACUGAAAUGAGAUGAUCUCUAAAGCCCUGCCAUUUCUAAGAUGUUAGAAACCACAUUAGUUCAUCAGUUCUGUGGAGAACUUUCCAACUAGGAACCAGCUGGAUGACUUCCUAUGGGUCUUCUGUACUUCACUGCAUAAGCUAUUUAUGCUUUGUGACCAGUUAAGAAUUGGAAUAUCAUCAAUUUUCUUAAAAGGUACUUUUAUGCCAAUAUUGGCUUUUCAUUCUAGAGCAUUUGGAGAUACAAAUGAACACAAAUAAACACAAAAAUGAGAUGAUUCAUACUUUCAAAGUGAUUUUUACCAUCUAUUUAUUGUUGUAUUACAUCAGUGUUACCUUUUCAUGAUGAUAAUUAUAAUUGUAGGCAUGAGAUUAGGGUCGUAAAUCUAUGUUAUAUGUAAAUCUACAUGGGGCUGAGGGAAGAUACUUAUCCAUGAUUUAAGUCAAGGAUUUAUAAUUUAGAUUUGUUUUAACCUGGGGAUGUUCUCAGUCAGGAGGAAAAUUGUAGCAUUCUUCUAAUGCAAAAAUUUCAUCAGAUUUUCAAUGUGGCCCAUAAAACAAACAAACAAAAAAUGUAAAGCAUGUAGAUUAGAAUUUAAUGGGGUUGAGUAUUCUCCCCCUCAACAGGUUACAUAUAGGAUCGAUCUCUAUCCUGCUACAGUUGGAGAUAUUCUAUUCACUAGACAAAAACCUAAAAUUAGCCUUAUUUUAAACACUAGUAUUAUUACCAUUAAAAUUGUUUCCAUUGGUAUCUACUUCAGCAAGAAAACACUUUGGCCCUUCUACAAAGUAGAACAAAUUUGAACGAAUAAAAUUUUAUUGCAUUGUUUGGCUCUCAAUAAGUAAACCAAAUUGCAAAGACAAUUUAAAAAAAGCAAUAGAAUUUAAACUGAAAACUUGAAUAAUGGUGAAAGCGAAAGGUUUAAUUGUCCUGAGGACAACAGCUAACAUAAGCAUUUCCCACAACAAGGGGUGGUGACCAGCGAGUUCAAGUGGUCUGAAUUAGGGAUGGAUCUAAGAAGGAAAAUGAUCUCAGGACCAUGUGAAUUGCAAGAAGAGUGAAGAGUGGAAUGGUAAAUAUGAAGAAAAGCCAAGUAAACAUAUUUAUAUAAAAUAGAAGUAGUAUAUGUGAUUGAAGAUAAGAGGACAUAACUGACUCCAAGACAGCUGGGAUUUAGGACACAGAGUACUACCAAGGAGCCCUGAGAACCUGUGUAAGAAAAUCUUUUUUCAUUUUUUAUUUUUCUUUCUGGGCCAGGUCCUAAGUUGUGUAUGCAGAGGGUGGCACUCCCGAAGGCCCAGCAGAGAACAAACUCUGGAAGGCUGUAGACACGGGCAGGGAUUUCAGAGGAUACCCAGGGCAGGAAGGCAAUGGCAUUCAGACCCAGUGAGAGUGGAGAGUCGUGGUGGGUGACUGUGAUUCCCACUAAGACCCUGGAAAGGCCAUGCACUAGCAAUGAUGACCACAUGCUGGGGCUCCCUAAGAGGGAGGGCAAGGCUGAAAUAGACCCUAGCAAGUCCUACAUUCAACCCUCCCAGAAUAAAACCCAAUACAUUUCCAAGAAAUAACAUAAUGCAGAGCCUCAAGCCUAUAUUGUCCACAAUGCUUCACAUCAACCCUUUCUAAUCUUUCAUGUAGGAUAUUUAGAAGUCUCCUAAUCAUUCAUGCCACCCAAAAAUCUAUCUCCUUUCUGAUCCAUACUACUACCAGUGUUCCUCUACCAAAAUAUCAGUUUCAUCAUGUUGUUUCACUUGGAGUAGGACCAAUGGCUCACCACUGCCUAGAGAUUUGUGUCCAAAGUCCUUUCAGGUCUCCCAAUAUCCCCAGUCAUCUGGCUAUUGCCUGCUCUUGAGGACAGUUCAAGAUGAUAUUCAUCAGAAUUGGGAGAGACACUUGCUGGUCACCCUUCUUGAAGAGAAGGAGCCCACAACGCACAAGGCUACCUCCACCGGCAUCUCCUCAACACUUUCCAGUUUACCUAUUGCCAUGGAAUUUCAUGCCUCUCCAAAUAUUUUUCUGUUGAAUAAAGUACUCACUGAUCAUCAGAAUUGUCUCUUGAUCUUGGAAAUAUUUCCUUCCCCCUCCUUUAUGCUUGUGCUCAUCAACCAUUUUCAGCAAUCGUGUUUUUUUCAUAAUGUUAUAUAAAAUACGUACCAAUAUGUGCCACACA